CGCGAGUGGUGGUGGUGGUCGUGUGGUGUCCGUGUUCUCAACUCUCACUUCUCUCGCCUCUCAUCUCAGAUCCAGAACCAGAUCUAGGCUAAGAACUAUAAGUGGAAAUGUCGACGGUAAGAAAGGAAACGCACCUGAAACUCAUGGGACCAGAAACGGGACACACGGAGAUGUCGGAAAAGUAGACAUGUGUGUCCUAAACCCCGCGCCCUGGAACCCCGGUUGGAAAUGGGGAGGGACGGGUGUUUUAAAUUGGUAUCAGAGCCAGGUUAAGGUCCCUUAAUACUAACUUAAGGGAUCAGCAUUUCCGCUAUUGCCCAUUUCCCUUAUGGUUCUGAUAGACCGCCUUAGUUAAUGUUGAAGGAGAAUUCGAACAGCUCAGAGUCUCCGGCCAAGAUCAGAUCAAACAAAAAGUCCUCGAACCGCAGUGUAGUGGAGUUUCAAAGGUUCAGGAAUGCGUAACUAGGAGUUAUAAGGCAAGUAUACAGAGGGAUUAGUCGCCUAGCACGUCAAGCUAAGGGGGAAUGGAAAGUCGGACAGCUGGAGGGAAGCGUCUCGCGGACGACACCGCCCCACACAGGGCCGGGGAGGCCUGGGAAGGAGAGACGGACGCAAGGCCGAGGCGUGCGCAGCUUCAUGGAAGGAUUAAACCCUGCAAAGAAAUGGACUUCUGGCAUUCAGAUAUCACAGUGAAGCUUGUUCCCAGUAGAAAAAAAAAAAAAAAAGAAACAUGGGCGUGGGCCCCACCACCAGGGCGUGGGCCGCCGACAAGGAUGGAGCAACACCGGAGCGGCCAAGGGACGGUCGGAUGCACAGUAGGAGGAAACUGAUUCCAGAUUAGGGUAACUAAGCAAAGGAUCAUAUUGGGGUAAAAAGGACGAUGGAGGAUCAUCUUGGGGUAAAAAGGAUGAUGGAGGAUCAUCUUGGGGUAAAAAGGAUGAUGGAGAGUCAUCUUGGAGCAGAAUGCAAAAUGCUAAUAAGGAUAUGAGAUCUUCUUAGGGAAAAAGGGUUGGCUGUAAAAAGGAUCAUCUUGGGGCAAAAAGGGAUGAUAAGAACCACACCGGGGAUAUUGUCUGUUUAAGCAGCUCUACCUUGAGAAUUGAUUGAAAACUGCCAUCUAUGCAUGACUACUACUAUGUUCUGAUCAGGUCUUUGUUUUUACGCUGCAGGAUAUCUUCACCAGUGCAUCACGAGCUCGGAGAAAGGCGCAUGCGCUAUGGACCAAAAGGGACAAGGGCUUACGCUCGCAAGCCCUACCGUGACGCUUGGGGCGAUGUGGUACCUGCACUCUUCCCAGACGAAGAGGAAAUGGAGUUCGCGGAGCCGCCCAACGCCCCCAUCCAGGAGACGACCGUGAGGCGUCGGAUUUUGAUGCCCCAUUUCCAGCGGGCAGUCGAGUACAGGCGAUUGUACCAGGGUCAGGGUACUUUCCAGUUUGCACCUGAAGUUGACAUGACGCCGCCCACAAGGGGUCGAGGGCGCCCAAGGAAGACAGGGCCGACCAGGGAAGGUCCGGAACCGAUCCGGAUGGAGGACAGUGUACCAACGAGGAAACGGGGACGCCCAAGGAAGAUUCCGAGCAUUGAUGCAGAGAGUCUGAGGAGAACAACUGGAAUAUGUCGGUGUGGAACAUUGACGCAGGCCAGGUAAGGACCGCGCUCAGUCUGGGAGUACACAGAGGAAUUCCUGGAGGCAGCCAAAAGAUGCAAGCCCAAGACAGCGGAGGAUUGGUGCUGGUGGUACAAGGCAGGACUCCGCGAGGAGAUUCAGGGCAAGCUGAUUGGUGUGUUUGAACCAUGGGAAUUCGCCUUGGUGAACCGGAUGGCCGGUCAGGCAAUGGAGGCUGAACGGACACUUACUCGUCGGGUCGUCGCUAUCACGAGCUCUGAGGAGGACGUAGAGGUGGAAGAGGAUCCAUCAGAGGACUCAGACUGGGAAGAGGAGCCGGCGUCGCCGACGGGGAGUGGCCGUGUGGCUGGUCCUAAGCCGGACGGGGAGCAGAAGUCUCCAGUUCGAAGUGGCUAGCUGUGAUUCCAGAGUCAGCUAGUAGGAGUAGGACAUGGUUUUUCGUCUUUGGUUUUAGCUUUUUCUUUCUUGUUAUAAGGGUAUUCGCGGAUUUUGGCGAUACCUUGAGACCUAUCUAAUUAUUGUAGUCCUACUCCAUUUCAUUUAUUCAAUUCAUUGUUGGUUUUAAAUGAUCUUGAGCAAGUAGGAUAUCUUUGUGUGCUUCCCUUGUUUGUGUUUGAAAAAAAAUCCCUUUGGGUUUUGGAAUGUUAAGGUUUAAAGCCUGAAGAUUGGAAUUCGGGGCGAAUUCCGAUUAACAGGAGGAGAAUUGUAACACCCCAAAACCCAAAACCCAAAACUUUUUGGGUAAAGGCCCGCUCUGCGGCCCAUUAGGGUUAAAACCCCUAGGGUUUCCUUGCCUCCCUUAUAAAAGCAAGCUCCCACCCUUCUAGCCUCUCAUCAGAAACUUAGAAGCGAAGCCCUGCAGAGAACUCCCGGAGAUCAGAAGCCCUAGCCGUCGCCUCUCUCCCUUCCGCGCCGCCUCUUCUCUUUCUCUCUUCGCCGCGGCUCUUCUCUCUCUCUCUCCUCGCUGUGCCUCUUUCUCUCUCUCGGACGACUCUCUCUCCUCGCCGUGAGCAACCGCGAGUGGUGGUGGUGGUCGUGUGGUGUCCGUGUUCUCAACUCUCACUUCUCUCGCCUCUCAUCUCAGAUCCAGAACCAGAUCUAGGCUAAGGUGAGGUGUUCUGUCCAGAUCUGUUCUAUGUCCUUUUAUAUUGUUGAAUGGGUUGCUAGUAUUGAUUAGAUCUUGUUUGUUGUUAGGAUGAUAGACCAUAUUGCAUCAGGACUCUCAUACUGAUUAAGAACUUUACAUGAACUGGUUUAAUGUUGAAUGUGGAUUGAGUGAUUGGUUGAUUGAAGAUCUGUUGUUUGUGAUUGAGAGCUAGGAUGGUUAGAAAGGAAAUGAACUUAGGAACUUAAGAGAACUGUUAACCGGUCUGGUUAGAUGAAUGUUAGGAUAUUCAUGACUGAAUGUUAAAUGGAUUGAGUGUGACACCGAGAACGGGUGGCGUCUAAAACGGAAAGUAAGAAAGAGUCUAAGAGAUAAGGAAAAAGGAAAUGAUGAAUGAUUGAAAUACAAACCACCGAGGGACUGGUGGGGAGUAUGGGAAAUGAAUAGAAAAGGAAUACGAACCACCGAGGGACUGGUGGGGAGUAUGGGAAAACGCGGCGGCCGUAGCGUUCAAAAACGGCAGGUUAAGAAUAGAGGCGGCGGUAAGAUUGAGUCACGCCGAGUCUUGGCGGGAAGGGGCCGUAAUACACUGCAAAGGGUAUAGACUACAUCCAAGGGAACCGGAUGCCGAGUGUACCAGGGCAGGCGGCUCCACAGGAACGCAGCAAGAAAGGGGAGGGUUGGUCCGCUUGAGCUGUGUAGGUCCUAGAGUUAUAGGAUGAAUGGAGUCUUAAUUAAUAAACCGAAAUGUGUGAAUUGAGCGAUGACUGAGUUCAUUGCACUGCUUGUUUUGUGAAAUGAAACUUUAAUAGUUAGUUAAGAAUUGGGUGUAGUGACUAGUCGGUUCUCGUUUCGCAUUGAGCGGUAUAAAAGCUCAUGGGGGAGACUGGUCUAGAAUCGCUUCACUGAGUAUUCGUACUCACCCCUCUUUUUCCCUCUCAUUUUUGCAGAACUAUAAGUGGAAAUGUCGACGGUAAGAAAGGAAACGCACCUGAAACUCAUGGGACCAGAAACGGGACACACGGAAAUGUCGGAAAAGUAGACAUGUGUGUCCUAAACCCCGCGCCCUGGAACCCCGGUUGGAAAUGGGGAGGGACGGGUGUUUUACAUGCAUUCAUAUGUAGGGGCGGAUCCAAGAUGGUUUUUAGUAUGGGGCACUUAACCAUUUCAAUAACUAAAAGCUUAAUAUAAGUGUACUUAAUUAAAUUUAACACUAGAUGUCAAUGAACAAAAAAAAUUAGGGUGAGACACAUGCCACACCCUCUAAUACACUGGGACCGCCCCUGUUCAUAUGUUCAGAUGCGAAAUAUUGGAGAUUAAAAGUUUCAAAAGAAAAUAAAUAUUGGAGAUGAAGGCUAUAUAUUGUAUUAGAUGUGUUGGCAUGUUAAAAAUGUGUGAAAAGGCUAAACUUGAGUAUCCAGUUUUACAUGCAUAUCUGUAUCCAAAUUGACUUGUGACAUCUAAACCGAUAUUUCAUGUAUUUAAAAUUGUACCGAGACUAAACCAUCACUUAAAUAUGUUGCGGCGUAAUCACAUAAUCGCUGAUGAUAUAUAUCGUAAUUACGAUUUGUUGUUGUGGUAGUCACUAAUAAUUAUGUAUUGUCAUCGAUGAAUCAAGAUGUAACUUUAAGUAAUAGGAUCACGAAGAAAUAGUUUAAAUAAUUUGAAAAAAAAACCCCCGAUAUACUACAAAAGAAACCACUGAUAGGGUAACAAUAAACAAACUCAAACUAAACCCCAAAAUAAUGAAUAGUGAAAUUUACUAAAUAAGAAUAGUGUUUCUAAAAUUUGAGUACCGAUCCCGCCGAUCUAGUUGACUUGACUCAAUCCUUAUGCUUCAUUCUCUCAAAUUAACUCGGAACAAUAGUUUUUACUUUGUGUUUAUAUAAAUAUAAGAACAAUGGUUUUGGUUAGACUGACAAAACGUUUCUACAAAGUCAUAAUCUUCAUCAAUUUUUGAAUCAUGAAGGGUACUACUUUGGUUAUGGUAUUUUCUGUUUUCAUAUGUUUCACUCUGAGUCAUGGUAAAGACGGGGACUGUUAUGAUCAGAUCCCAUUCCCUGAAAAAUGCAGCAAAUUACAUGGAGACAAGAGAUGCUUCAGAGACAUGCUUUCGAAGAACAUAACACGGCGUUUUCUUUCUUGCAAUUGUAUAAACCGGGAACCAGACAAAUCAUCUGGAAACCUACAAACCGAUUUACACCAUUCGAAACACCCCGGACAUAUCUGCAAUUGUCUCAGAGCUGUUGCCGGUGAUUGUGUGCCAGAUGCGUAAAAGAGUUUUUGGUGGUGAGAAAUAGAUAAGCAAUGGUGCUAAUCUGAUGGUAUUUUCUUCUUAGUAAAGGCAAUAAGAUUAGGCGUUAUUCAUUAAUAACGGACACUACAUGCGUAUUUCACUCAAUUUUGUUUCAUUUAUUUUUGUUUGCUUUCGACAUUUCCAAAUCUAUCUAUAUUGAUAAAAGAGACCAUACUCUAUUUAGUUCUUUUUA